rnacentral:rRNA from 1 species
UAGAGUUUGAUCCUGGCUCGAACGAACGCUGGCGGCUGGCCUAACGCAUGCAAGUCGAACGUGAAGCCACCUUCCGGUGGUGGAAAGUGGCAGACGGGUGAGUAACGCGUGGGAACGUGCCUUUCGGUUCGGAAUAACCCAGGGAAACUUGGGCUAAUACCGGAUACGCCCUUCGGGGGAAAGAUUCAUCGCCGAAAGAUCGGCCCGCGUCGGAUUAGCUAGUUGGUAGGGUAAUGGCCUACCAAGGCGACGAUCCGUAGCUGGUCUGAGAGGAUGACCAGCCACACUGGGACUGAGACACGGCCCAGACUCCUACGGGAGGCAGCACUGGGGAAUAUUGGACAAUGGGCGAAAGCCUGAUCCAGCCAUGCCGCGUGGGUGAAGAAGGCCCUAGGGUUGUAAACCCCUUUCAGCGGGGAAGAUAAUGACGGUACCCGCAGAAUAAGCCCCGGCUAACUCCGUGCCAGCAGCCGCGGUAAUACGGAGGGGGCUAGCGUUGUUCGGAAUUACUGGGCGUAAAGCGCGCGUAGGCGGAUCUGCAAGUCGGGGGUGAAAUCCCGAGGCUCAACCUCUGAACUGCCUUCUAUACUGCGGGUCUCGAGUCCGGGAGAGGUGAGUGGAAUUCCUAGUGUAGAGGUGAAAUUCGGAUAUAUUAGGAAGAACACCAGUGGCGAAGGCUGCUCACUGGCCCGGUACUGACGCUGAGGCGCGAAAGCAUGGGGAGCAAACAUGAUCAGAUACCCUGGUAGUCCACGCCGUAAACUAUGGGUGCUAGCCGUCAGUCAGCAUGCCUGGUCGGUGGCGCAGCAAACGCAUUUAAGCACCACUGCCUGGGGAGUACUAGUCGCUAGAUUAAACCUUCAACGGGAAUUGAAGAGCGGCCCGCACAAGACGGUGGAGCAUGGUGGUUUAACUCCGAGGC